UACAGCUGGCUGCUGGUGAAUGUACCUUUUUUCAAUAAUAACUUCUAUUGGAGUUUAAAGAUCAGAAAGUGACGCUUGAGUGAUUCAGGGAGGUUGCAAGAUAAAAACAAAAAGUGGUGUUGAUGAGAAUCAUAGAGUAUUUGUGGUUUCUCUGACUUGAAAUUGCAGGGUUUUGCUGUCCAGUGCUCAGAACCAAUAGUAGAAGUUGUUUAAAAAAGUAGUCGAGUCAGGCAGAGGGGAAGGGUGAAGCAGAGUGUAGCAGUGAUACUGACACAGUGCGAACAAUUCACCAUCCAGACCGAAGGCACCAGAACAGGAGAGUUAGCAUGGGAUGACCAGACCUGCUCACAUUCAGACUGUCUAUCUGCACUGCAAUCAAAUGUUGCAUCAACCCAAAAAGGGAAUUAUUAGAGCUAUGAAAAGAGCGAUGGCAAAGUUCACAAGGCUCAAAGUGCAGAAAGAUGUGGAACCUGAAAGAAGAAUCAGAGAGUUACUAAGAGUAUUCAAUCAAAGUGAUGAAGAUGCUGCCUAGUCUGCUGAGCUCCUCCAACAUUUUGUGUGUGUUGUUAAUGAGGAGAAUGGCCAGACUGGUUCAAGCUGACAGAAAGGCGACAAUAACUCAAAUAACCACACAUUAAAACAUUGGUGUGCAGAAGAACAUCUCUGAGUGUACAACACAUCAAGCUUUGAAGUGUAUGGGCUACAGCAACACCAGACUCAGUGACUACUGUACAUGUACAGGAAGUACCUGAUAAAGUGGCCACUGAAUAUACUUUUCUGAUUGUAAUCUGUAAGCAUUGCACUUUGCUGCUGACACAAAACAAGAAAUUUCACAGCAUUUGUCAACGAUAAUAAACUUGAUUCCGAUUCUGA